AUCGCUUCUCGGCCUUUUGGCUAAGAUCAAGUGUAAUGCUCUGUUCUUAUCAGUUUAAUAUCUGAUAUGUCCUCUAUAUGAGGACUACAUAUUAAGCAGAUUUUUGGCAUGAGGGCAGAAAUUUGGAGCUUAUCUUGCAUCGACUGUGCUAGCAUUGCAGUGCCGCUGGGAGCGGUGCACUCUGU